rnacentral:lncRNA from 1 species
CCUGUCUUCUGCUUUUGGUAUUGAUUUGUUCUUUUUCUAGGGCUUUGAGAUGUAGUGUUAGGCCAUUUAUUUGUUGGCUUUUUAUUAUUUUAAUGAAUGCACUCAAUACAAUAAACUUUCCUCUUAGUACUACCUUCAUAGUAUCCCAGAGAUUUUGAUAUGUUGUAUCAGUGUUCUCAUUUACCUCUAAGAUUUUUUAUUUUAUUUUAUCCUUGAUAUCUUCUACUAUCCCUCAUCAUUCUAUUGUGUAUUAUUUAGUCUCCAUUUGUUACAAUAGCUUCUAUUUUUUAAAUUUUAUCAUUGAUUUCUAUUUUCCUUCCAUUGUGGUCUAUUAGAAUGCAGGGCAUUAACUCUGCUUCUUUGUAUUUACUAAGAGUUGCUUUGUCGCAUAAGAUAUAUCUGUUUUAGAGAAGGAGCCAUGUGCUGCUGAGAAGAAAGUAUAUUUGCUCAUUGAUGGAUGAAAUAUUUUGUAUGUGUCUGUUAAGUCUAAGUUAUUGACUGUAUUAUUUAUUUCUAUAAUUUUCUAUUAGUUUUUGUUUGGAAGAUCUGUCCAGUAGUGAGAGAGGUGUGUUAAAAUCAUCCAGUAUUAUUGUAUUUUGGUCUGUUUGACUCUUGAAAUUGAGAAGGGUUUGUUUGGUGUACAUGGAUGCUCCAUUGUUUGGGGCAUAAAUAUUUAUAGUUGUUAUAUUCUGCUUAUAUAUACUUCCCUUCUUUUCCUCUUCUGAUUAACUUUGGUUUGAAUCUACUUUAUCUGAAAUGAGAGUGGAGAACCCUACUUGUUUAUGCAAUCCAUAUGAGUGGUAAGUUUUUUCCCAUCCUUUCACCUUCAGCCUGUGGAUGUCUUUGCCCAUGAGGUGAGUCUCUUGAAGACAGCAUAUUGUUGGAUCUUACAUUUUAAUCCAAUCGGCCAAUUUGUGUCUUUUGAUUGAUGACUUUAGGCUGUUAACAUUCAAGGUUAUUAUUGAGAUAUGAUUUGUAUUCCCUGUCAUUUUGAUUUAUUUCUGAUUUUUGAUUUGUCUUAGUUUCUCAUUUGGUUGAAUGUCACUUUACUAUAGAUCCUCCCUUUGCAGGUUUUCACUUUUUCCCCCUCCACUUUAUCCUCAAGGAAUAUUUUGUUGAGAAUGCUAUGUAGUGUAGGCUUUCUAGUUGUGAAUUCUUUUAAUUUUUGUUUAUCAUGGAAUGUUUUAAUUUCGUUUUCAAAUUUUAAAAUUUUUCUAAAUAUAAAAUUCUUGGUUGUCAUCCAUUUUCUUUCAGAGCUUGAAAUAUAUUAUUCCAGGACCUCCUAGCUUUGAGGAUCUGGGCUGAGAAAUCAGUUUGGAUCUGAAUUGUUUCCCCC